CAUCCAACUAGUUACUAAGUAAAGCAUUCGCAAUACUACAGCUUAAAAAUGAAAUUCGUGGGUUUGAUUCUUGUGGUAGCAUUGGUAGCAUUGGUAACUUUCCAAGUAGCGUACUGCGCUGAUUGUAAGUGCUUUGAAAAGCCACCAUGUCCUUUAGGAUAUCAACCAACUGAGCAAUGUAAGACCGCCGACGGCAAAGAUGGAGCCCAGUGCUGUCCAAUGAAGUAGUAAUGUUUUUAUUUCGAGCACAUUCAGACGGGCAGUUUUUUGUCAACACAGAAUUGAAAUUAAUAUAUUAUACUUUAUUAUAUAAUUAAUAAAUUGUUAUCCAGUUAAAUAAAAUGUAUAUUAAAUACUAA